UAGGGAAUCUUCCACAAUGGGCGCAAGCCUGAUGGAGCAACACCGCGUGAGUGAAGAAGGGUUUCGGCUCGUAAAGCUCUGUUGUUAAAGAAGUACACGUAUGAGAGUAACUGUUCAUACGUUGACGGUAUUUAACCAGAAAGUCACGGCUAACUACGUGCCAG
rnacentral:rRNA from 1 species